CCCUUAGAUGUUCUGGGCCGCACGCGCGCUACACUGAUGCAUUCAACGAGCCUAUCCUUGACCGACAGGUCCGGGUAAUCUUUGAAUCUGCAUCGUGACGGGGAUAGAUUAUUGCAAUUAUUAAUCUUCAACGAGGAAUGCCUAGUAGGCGCAAGUCAUCAGCUUGCGUCGAUUACGUCCCUGCCCUUUGUACACACCGCCCGUCGCACCUACCGAUGGUUUUUAAUGUGAAAAUUUCUGACUGCUUGAUGUCAUGCUUUUGUGUAUGGUAUUGGAGUUGAAUGUGAUUUGAAUUUUAAAAAUUAGAGGAAGGUGAAGUCGUAACA
rnacentral:rRNA from 1 species